UCCUAGAAAAAAGAAAAAGAAAAGACCAGACACAAACAUUAAAUAUUAUUUACAUCAAGAAAAGGAAAAGUGAGGAAGCUCAAACGAGCUCCUCUAGAUUCAUGGCUGAAUCUUCAACAAACUCUGGUGGUGCUCGGGUCAUCAGCUCCACCAUGAUCUAGACUAUCCAUAUUCCAAGUUAUCAGGAGACUACAUAAUUAUUGAGCUUGAGCGAUAUUCACUUAGGCAUCACAAGCUCUCACUGAUGCCAUGAAUUCAGUCUCAUUGAAGGCUUCUUCAGCUCAUAAAUGAAUGAGCUCUCAAGCGCUAAUACUACUGCAAAAGAAUAAAGAUCUAAAUGGAUUAUCUUAGGCUUGUGUAUCAUCUUCACUUGAAGAGUGUGUUGUUUCUGCUAUCACCUUGUUGCUGAAGUUUGUGUUACUGUAUUUUGUUUCCUUUCCCUUACUUGUAUUAGUUAUGUGUGGUUCUAUAUCAAUAUCUGAUGGCUUCACGUAUGUGUGCAUUAUCUCCUCCUCUUUGGGACUGGUAUUAUCUCUUUUACUUAUUCAUCGUCUACAUUAGCACCAA